rnacentral:misc_RNA from 1 species
UGGGCUUGACAUGCACGUGGUACGACCUCGAAAGGGGAAGGACCCGCAAGGGAGCGUGCGCAGAUGCUGCAUGGCUGUCGUCAGCUCGUGCCGUGAGGUGUUGGGUUAAGUCCCGCAACGAGCGCAACCCUCGCUGCCAGUUACCAUGUCUGGCGGGACCGCCGGGUCCAACCCGGAGGAAGGUGGGGAUGACGUCGUAUCUCACUG